rnacentral:tRNA from 1 species
GGCGUCGUGGCCGAGUGGCUAGGCUGGGCUCUGCAAAAGCUCCUACUCCGGUUCGAAUCCGGACGAUGCCUCCA